rnacentral:lncRNA from 1 species
ACUCAGCAGGAAAAUAUCAGAGGGACCUGGCUUUCUGAGGAAUUCAUUCUUGGUGAAUAUGGCAGAGGUUGGCAUAGACACUGAGCUGAGAAGCAAAUAUGAUGAACUGCUGGUUCUAAGAUGCUGUGCUCAUGUUUUACAACACCUAUUAGUGGUGUGGGUAUUAUUCCUGGUUGCAUAAUCCCAGUUUUCUUGUCUUCCUGAGACUUAUGAGGGCUUGUGUGGGCUCUCUCUUGUCGGGAGAGGAGGCCCACGGAACAGGGUAGAGGAGAGCGUGGCUGUGGAGUCGCUAUUCGAGACCUCCGGAGACCAAGCAGGAGGAAGCAGGUCUGAUUUUAUUGCACAGUUACCAUGUGUGUAUACUCAGGCAGUAGCUAAACAGAUUAUAGGCAGCCACCAUGCAAUUUCUGCUAACUGUCCUUGCAGUGACCAAACUAGUAGUGGGCCAUGGAGCAACCACAGGGACUGGAACACCAGUCCUCAUGCCCAGGGCUGUGCCUACAAGCAUCACAGAGAAGCAAGAAAAUAAGACCAAAGAAGAAACCAUACAGACCUGAAGAAUGUGGAGAAAGCAAUCUGCCAGGAAUGUCAAUAAAGGAAGGACUCUAAUAUUUGUGCAGCUUUACAAUUUCUAAUUUCCUUUAGCUAGGAGAAUUAAAAGAUAAAUAUUCCCUCUCUAUGUGCUUCUUUAUGUAUGUAUAUGUAAAUAUUUUUUUUGUAAAUUACAUAAACAUGCACAUUAUUAAAGAAAAUAAAAAAUAUGGAGGCCAGAGUUUAGAUAUACCAUAAUAUCAACUCUAUACCCUAACCAAAACUUAGGUUAUUCUGACUUCCUAGAAACUCCUUUCACUACAAACUAAAGAAAAGACAUAAACUUUAUUAUAUUUUUCCCAAUCAAAUCUUCUUUUAUUUUUAUUAUUUAAAAAAAUUAUUGGUUCUUUUUAGUUGUACAUAAAACAUAAUCCAUAUUGUUAUAAUUAUAAUUAUAAAAGCAUGGAAUGUGUAUUAGUCUAGUUAGGAUUCUAUUCUUGUAGAUGUACAUGAUGGUGGAUUCACUGUGUUGUUUUCAUACAUGUACAUGGGAAAAUUAUUUCAGAUUUAUUCUACCAUCUUUCCUUAUCAAUUAUUCAGUGAAAUUGAACUAGAUAUAGAGAAAUCAUUUUAAACUGCUCUUUUACCUUAAAAAUAAUGUUAAUGUAUAAUAGCCAAUCAUGACAAUAAGUUAAAAUACUACCCUUUUUAUGCUUUGUAAACUGUGCUUAUUAUUGUUCAAAUUAUUAAAAGGAUAAAACAAUCAAUUUAAGUUCAUAUUAUAUAAUUGCUAUACAGUGAAAUUUUUACCACCUGGUUUGAGGUCUGCCAGUUUGUGAACUGUUAUUUUAUAUGAACAAUAAACUUGUACGAAUUUUAAAUUUG